rnacentral:ncRNA from 1 species
UCGUAAGGCUCGACAUAAUGGGCCCCUCAAAAAGAAAUUUUUGAGUGUGUAUUCGUCAAAUUCGGAGAAAUCCUAUUCGUCAUUAGCCGACGAAAAGACAAUUCCGAGCUAAAUCCAAUAUUUAUUGGAAAAUGUGUAGAGACUAGAUGGCGAACUCCUUACUCUUUUACAAGAAAGGAGAUGGUAUAGUCCAGACCCCAAAUCCAUCAAAUGAUGGAA